UACGUAGGUGGCAAGCGUUGCUCGGAAUUAUUGGGCGUAAAGCGCGCGCAGGCGGUUCUUUAAGUCUGAUGUGAAAGCCCACGGCUCAACCGUGGAGGGUCAUUGGAAACUGGAGAACUUGAGUACAGAAGAGGAAAGCGGAAUUCCACGUGUAGCGGUGAAAUGCGUAGAGAUGUGGAGGAACACCAGUGGCGAAGGCGGCUUUCUGGUCUGUAACUGACGCUGAGGCGCGAAAGCGUGGGGAGCAAACAGG
rnacentral:rRNA from 1 species